AACAAAUAAACAGAAAAACCCCGCCCCACACUGCUAAGACGAAGUGACCUCUGCCUUCCCCGGGAAUGACCUGUGCCUUCCCCAGCACUGAUCUCCAUGCCUUCGCCGGGAACGACCCGUGCCCUCCCCGGCAAUGACCUCUGCCAUCCCCGAGAGUGGCCUCUGCCUUCCCCGGGAAUGACCUGUGCCCUCUCCAGCAGUGAUCUCCAUGCCUUCCUCGGGAAUGACCAGUGUCCUCCCUGUGGGAAAAAUUCCUCUUUUAAAUUUAGAAAGACGGCAUAAAGUCAUGAAACUAAAGAAUUUAUUCAGCGUACUGGGUCUAGUCUCACACCAAGUUUUUCGGGGAGAAAGACCCUUUGGAUUUAAAUACCACACAUUUUAUAGUUCCACCCUUAUUCAGACAAGUUUAAUAUAUUCAUUUUUGCCUAAAAAGGUUUCUUUUCUCUGAAAAGGGACAUUCCCUUUCUUCUGAUUGGCUGCAAGGUGUCCUCUGUCAAAAACAAUGGAUCUUCCUUUGUUCUUAGCCCAAAGAGAGAGAAGAAACCCCUGUGUACAAAACUUCCACAUGGCCUUGAAUGAUUUUAAUUUUUAAGAACUUUUAUAUUUCUCUUAUCCAGACGAAAAAGACCCUGACACCCAGUUCCGUUUGGAACUUGGAUAUCUUGCAACUUCACGAUGCACCUAUGUAUAUAAAAAUUGUAUUUUAUCUCUCAUAUCCCCAGGUCCCACAGACAGUAUUUCACACACGCUCCCCCCUUCCGGCCCCAAAAUCAGCACUGCUGAAGCUGUUAUUUGUUUUAAAUAAAACAAAAUUCUCACAAA